GGUCCCGUAGCUCAGCUGGUUAGAGCGUCGUACUAAUAAUUCUUCUUCGGAGAAUGAUUAAGUGAUGCGAAGGUCGCGAGUUCGAUCCUCUCCGGGACCA
rnacentral:tRNA from 1 species